AAGUUACAAAGGAAAAGGGAACAAGUGGUGUCAUUUCUGCAAGAGAGACAACCAUGAUGAAGAUGAAUGCUACUUCAAAAAUGGAAGAAAGAAACCAGAAUCCAACAGUCACAAAGGUACAAGAGAAUGUUACAAUUGUGGCAAGCUUGGUCACUUUGCAAGAGAUUGUAGAAGCAAGAAACCAGAGCAAGCACAAGUCUCUCAUGAAGAUGAAGAAGAAGAAGAAAAUCACUUGUUCACUGCAAGACAAGAAGAUGAAGACUCAGGUGAAGAAAACGUUUGGCUCAUUGAUAGUGGAUGCACAAAUCACAUGACUCCACAUGAGAAGCUCUUCACAAGAAUCAACACAAGCUUCAAAGUUCCUAUAUCUAUUGGUAAUGGGGCUGUAUUGAUUACCAAAGGGAAAGGAGACAUUGAAGUCAUGACAAAGAAGGGCAAGAGAAUCAUUAGAGAUGUGUUUCUAGUGCCUAAGCUCACCAAGAAUCUACUAAGUGUUCCUCAGAUGAUUGCAAAUGGAUAUCAAGUUACUUUCAAGCAAAAGAGUUGCACCAUACAUGAUCAAGCUGGAAGGAAGAUAGCUGAACUGGAGAUGGUUAAAAAGAGUUUUUAUAUCAAGUGGUCCUCAAGUGAAGAAGCAGCAAUGGUGACGAGAACUGAAGUCGCAAAGCCCUCAAAGAUGCAAAUUCUGCAGCCAUGUAAGCAACAAUUCGUGAUGCUAGAGUGUCUAAAGCAAGAGUAUAAUGAUUGUCAAUGUUCCAAUUCAAGAGGGUGGACUGAAAAGAAGGUCGAAGCUAAGUAUAAACCUGUUGAGUUUCAGACAAAGAUUGGAGCUGAACUCGAGAAACAGAAAAACUCAGUCAUUGUCAAGAAAGAGACUGAGCUUGUUGAUCAAAAGGCUGAUCACAUGAUUCAGGAACUUGAGAAGCAGAAGUCUGUGACAAAAGUUGAGUACCAAGAAGGUUCAACAACUGAAAACAGAGAAGCUAAGGUUCAGGUCAAGGGAACCGAAAAUCAGAAGUUGGUGAUCAAAGAAGACACCAAACAGAAAAUAAGAAGCUCACCUGAGAGGGAGCAACAGCUGGUUGGAAAAACAACUAGAGGAGAUGUGAAGAAAGCUCAUGGGAAGCUGGAAGAAGAUAUGGAGAAAACUCACAAAAGAAUGGAAGAAAAAUCAGUGAACAAAAAGGGUUCUGAUAAUGAAGCAAGAGGGAGUCUCAGCAAGAGGGAGUUUCAUGAUUUCAGUUUCAAGGGAAACUCACCAAAUAAGACAGUACAUGGAGAAGAAAUUCAAAGCUCAGUUAAAAUCAAACAAGAUCAGAAUGAAGUCAAGGAAGGAAACAAGAAAGUGAACGUUCCAGAGUUGCAUAAUCAGAACAAGGUGGAGACUGAAAAACCAAAAGUUGGAAUGCGUUAUGUUGAUGUCGUCAAAGGGAUUGGUCCAUAGGUUUUGGGAUCAACCUGGUUUGAGGAACAAAAGGCAAGAGGGAGUGUUGAAUAAUGUCUAUUUGUUCUCAAACCACACAAAUAAAAUGUGGGAAAAGAGAGUAAUAAAUUAAUAAUAAGAUAAAUGGAGAAAGAUCUAGAGAAUUCUAUUCUCUGUAUAAAUAUGUAAUGGCCCUGUUGUGUAAUUUAAGCUAAUAAGAAAUCAGUUUCCUACUUCAUCUUUCUCUAUCUUCUACUACCUCUCACUCAUACGUUCUACACAAACAUUCCUCUGUUUUCUUUUCUUUGAACAAGACCAAAAACAGAACAAGAGAAGCAUGAAGAAAACCUGCAAUUUUCUGCAGUUUGCAACACUUUGUCCAUGUCUCGGGAUUAAUCCAGGUUUUGAUCCGAAAGCUAUCCUUAUUAUAAAAGAAAAAAGAAAAAAACAGAAAGAGAAAGAGAGAGAGACAGAGAGAUACAUCAUACAUCGUGCGAUAAGAAUGUGUAUAUAAUGUUAAAUAUAUGAUGUACACGAGGAUUCAACUAACAAUAUUUACACAUGUAAUUAAGUCUUAUAAAGGAAGUGAAGAUUAUUUAAAAACUUCAGUGGCCUUUGGUUUGGUCAUGUCCUGGACGCGACUAACAGAGAAUAAUCGUACGAUAAAGAAGGACGACGGCUUCCCAGAUCAUUGAGAGUCAUUUAAUUAAGCGUGACCCUUUAAAGAUUUUGUAAUGUGUCCAAUCACAUAUUCAUCAGAUACAGACAAAUGUUAUGUAGCAUUAACACUUUUGAUAUGAAAUUACUUAAGAAUGCUAUGUGUUAGUGUCCGAUUGGAGACUAGAGCAUGUCUACUACCUUUACUUACAUCGUUGCUCAAUUUUGUUUUAAGCUUCACUUUGC
rnacentral:lncRNA from 1 species